ensembl:lncRNA
UUAUGGUUACCUGUCUAUUGGUCAGGUGGACAUGUAGGCCAAAUGUAUUUAUUUAAUUUAUAAUCAGUCCUCUCAUUUUACAGAUGAGAAAAUUAGCAGAGAGAUGAUGACUUCCUUCAUGUUUCAUGGCUGCUUAACCAAACUAGAAUUUAGAACCUGAAUUUUCUGAGUUUUAGACAACUAGGUUUUCUUUUACUCCAUACUAUCUCUUUUUGACAUAACUACAUUAUAAAAAGACACUUUUAGAAAAACACCUGCAGCCUAUUAAUAGUCCUGUAAGACAAGUCUGUUGGGAAACUAUAACUUAAUAAGCUGAUAGUUAAGAGUGAUUAAUAGGACUAUAUUUCUUCUCUCCCACUGUGCCACAGUAAGUUAGGGUGCGUAUUUUACCAUCUCAGGAUGAAAAAGAACAGAUGUAUUGUCAGAUCGUAGAUCAUCUGUCGUCAUUAACUUUUAUUAUCUUUAUAAAAAUGUUCAAUUUCAAGCAUACUUGGUGCUUGGAAAUACGUGGUACAUCUAAUGUUGCUAAACCAUUAAAACCAUAAACUGAGACUAUAAUGACUAUCGCGGUGUGCUCGUAUGAGCGAAUGGAGUCGAGCUGAGUGAAAUGGAGAGGAAGUAGUCCUGGGUGGGUGCUGGAUAUGCGUUUAGUGGAGAAAACUUUUCAAAUCAGUUCAACAAAUUCCCGUUAAUGCCUUCUAUAUUCAAUACUGGUUUAGGGACUGUGACCAGGUCCCUACCCUCAAAGGAAAUAAAACUCAGUUGGGCAGAUGGGAGGCCUACUUGAAACAGGUUUUUAAAACUGUGCAGUGUAGCAUAUGAUUAAGUGUAAAAACUAACUACAGAAAUGUACUAGUGCAGGGGAAGAAGAGUUUAAUAUAAAAUGAAUGUCCAAGGUAGCUUCAAGUACCUGGCCUAUAGGUCCUCUAGAUUUGGAGACAAAUGAAUUGAUCAGCCUCAGUUGAGCAAAUAACAGAAAAGCUUAAACAUGAUAAAGUUAGAGUAAAAUAAAACUGGUAUGAGCUUGUUAUUGGGUUGUUCUAAAUUUUAGUGCAUUAUUAUUAGCUUGCUCAGUUCUAUGUUCUGGUUAUUCCUUGAGAAUUCUGAUCUCCUGGUGGCUUUCAUGAUUUAGGGGCUGUUGUAUCCAGAUGGCUCUGCAUUUUCUCUGAGUAGCAAUAUCUGAUUCUUUUUGAAAAUGGAAACGAAUCUGUCUAGGAGCCAUGAGGUUGCGCAUCUGAUCCCUGGCCUUGCUAAGUGUAAGAACCCAGCAUUGCCAUGAGCUGUGAUGUAGAUUGCAGAAGUGGCUCAGAUCUGCUGUGGCUGUGGCUGUGGCUGUGGCGUAGGCCGGCAGCUGUAGCUCUGAUUAGACCCCUAGUCUGGGAAUCUCCAUAUACCUUGGGGUGGCCCUAAAAAAAGACAAAAAAAAAAUUAAUUAAAAAUAGGAGUUCCCGUCGUGGCGCAGUGUUUAACGAAUCCAACUAGGAACCAUGAGGUUGCCGGUUCGGUCCCUGCCCUUGCUCAGUGGGUUAACAAUCCGGCGUUGCCGUGAGCUGUGGUGUAGGUUGCAGACGCGGCUCGGAUCCCGUGUUGCUGUGGCUCUGGCAUAGACCGGUGGCUACAGUUCCGAUUCGACCCCUAGCCUGGGAACCUCCAUAUGCCGCGAAAGCGGCCCAAGAAAAUAGCAAAAAGACAAAAAAAAUAAAUAAAUAAAAAUAAAACUACCAUAUGAUCCAGCAAUUCCGCUUCUGGAUAUUUAUCUGAGGAAAUUGAAAACACUCAAAAAGAAAUUUGCACCCCUAUGUUUACUGCAGCAUUAUUUACAGUAGCCAAGACAUGGAAGCAGCCCACGUGUACAUCAGUGGAUAAAUGGAGAAGGAAAAUGCAGUGCACAUAUACAAUGGACUAUUCUUCAAGCCAUAAAAGCAAGUGAAGUCUUGCCGUUUGUGACAACAUGGAUGGACCUGGAGGGCCUUAUGCCAAAGUGAGGUAAGUCAGACAGAAAGAUGAACACCAUAUGAUCUCAUAUGUGGAAUCUUAAAAAUGAAAAUGAAAAAACAUUCUCAGAAUAGACUGGUGGUUGCAGGAGGGUAGAGGGUGGGUGAAAUGGGUGAAGAGGGUCAAAGGUACAAACUGCUAGUUAUAAAGUAAAUAAGGGGAUAUGAAGUACAUCAUAGUGUCUGUAGUUCAUAAUACUGUACUCUAUAUUUCAAAGUUGCUAAGAAUUGAUAUUAAAAGGAGUUCCCGUCAUGGCUUAGUGGUUAACGAGUCUGACUAGGAACCAUGAGGUUGCGGGUUCGAUCCCUGGCCUUGCUCAGUGGGUUAAGGAUCUGGCGUUGCUGUAAGCUGUGGUGUAAGUCGCAGACGCGGCUCAGAUCUUGCCUUGCUGUGGCUCUGGCAUAGGCAGGCAGAUAUACCCCUAGGCUGGAAACCUCCAUAUGCCGAGGGAGUGGCCUUAGAAAAG